UGAAAUUGAGAUGUUUGGUGGCAAAACAGUUGGCGUGCGAGAAGGCUAACGUUAGCAUGUUGACUGUUUUGCCACCGAACACCUCAAUUUCACAUGAUUUUGAACCUGACACAUGCUAACUGUUAGCAUGCUAACUUUCUUGUAGCCAUGAGACUUGGCACUUGACACAUGCUAACUGUUAGCAUUUCAACAUUAGCAUUCUAGCACGAUCAUUUUUUUAGCCAACUUUGCAGGCUAACACCUCAAUUGCACAUAACUUCGAACUUGAUCUAUGCUAACUGCUAGAGUGUGAGAAGGCUAACAUUAGCAUGCUAACUGUUAGCAUUUCAACAUUAGCAUUCUAGGACGAUCAUUUUUUUUUUAGCCAACUUUGCAGGCUAAUACCUCAAUUUCACAUAACUUCGAACUUGAUCUAUGCUAACUGUUAGCGUGUGAGAAGGCUAACAUUAGAAUGCUAACUGUUAGCAUUUCAACAUUAGCAUUCUAGCACGAUCAUUUUUUUUUAGCCAACUUUGCAGGCUAAUACCUCAAUUUCACAUAACUUCGAACUUGAUCUAUGCUAACUGUUAGCGUGUGAGAAGGCUAGCAUUAGCAUGCUAACAGUUAGCAUGUAUCAGGUUCAAAGUUGCAUGAAAUUGAGGUGUUUGGUGCCAAAACAGUUAGCGUGCGAGAAGGCUAACGUUAGCAUGUUGACUGUUUUGCCUCCGAACACCUCAAUUUCACAUGAUUUUGAACCUGACACAUGCUAACUGUUAGCAUGCUAACUUUCUUGUAGCCAUGAGACUUGGCACUUGACACAUGCUAACUGUUAGCAUUUCAACAUUAGCAUUCUAGCACGAUCAUUUUUUUAGCCAACUUUGCAGGCUAACACCUCAAUUGCACAUAACUUCGAACUUGAUCUAUGCUAACUGCUAGAGUGUGAGAAGGCUAACAUUAGCAUGCUAACUGUUAGCAUUUCAACAUUAGCAUUCUAGGACGAUCUUUUUUUUUUUAGCCAACUUUGCAGGCUAAUACCUCAAUUUCACAUAACUUCGAACUUGAUCUAUGCUAACUGUUAGCGUGUGAGAAGGCUAACAUUAGAAUGCUAACUGUUAGCAUUUCAACAUUAGCAUUCUAGCACGAUCAUUUUUUUAGCCAACUUUGCAGGCUAAUACCUCAAUUUCACAUAACUUCGAACUUGAUCUAUGCUAACUGUUAGCGUGUGAGAAGGCUAACAUUAGCAUGCUAACUGUUAGCAUUUCAACAUUAGCAUUCUAGCACGAUCAUUUUUUUUAGCCAACUUUGCAGGCUAACACCUCAAUUUCACAUAACUUCGAACUUGAUCUAUGCUAACUGUUAGCGUGUGAGAAGGCUAGCAUUAGCAUGCUAACAGUUAGCAUGUAUCAGGUUCAAAGUUGCAUGAAAUUGAGGUGUUUGGUGCCAAAACAGUUGGCGUGCGAGAAGGCUAACGUUAGCAUGUUGACUGUUUUUCCCACCGAACACCUCAAUUUCAUAUAACUUUGAACCUGAUACAUGCUAACUGUUAGCACGCUAACGUUAGCAUUGAAGUUUGACUUGCGCAUUUCUCCCAAAAUUGCAUAUUCUGGGUUUUUUGUGCAAUGUUGGAAUGUGGAAGGUUUGAAUCUAAAAAAUCAGGCAGCACCUUGGACACCCCUGGUGGUGCACUUCCUGCUGAUUGCCUGCAGGCAGGAAGUUGCAGCUGAAAAAAAGGAAACAUCACUUUUGACUUUUUCUGUUCUUGGGCCCUUUUUUUUGCCGAGACCCUGAGACGUUCUUCUCCAUGGCAACAUCAGCAAAUAUGCAAAUGAGUUGAGAGUUAAUGAGGUGCAACCUAGAAGCUGUCACGUGACCAGGUGAGUCCAGCCAAUAGGAAAAGACUGGAGAAUCACUUCAAAGAACAGAAGUUCAUUUCCAGGAAGGAGGGCACCAAAAAAAAUCGAUAAUUUUCAUAAAUUGCUUUAAAAUGUGUUUAGUUUAUUUGAAUAGGAAUACAUUUAAAAAAAAAAAAAGAGGUUUUAGAGCCCCCUGCAGGCUGUGGUGAAAGUUGCAUUGCCACGAUGACGUCACGUCCCACUUCCUACUCAUCCACCAAUCAUUGGAACGUUUUGGUGCGUGGAGCCUCCAGCAGGUCAAAGGUUGCACGCACUUCCUGUAUGACGUCACCACACUGCCUUCCAGAUGUGUUCUUUCUGCCAUGUCAUGUAAACAGCUGCUGAUCAGGUGGCAGAUGACGUCAUGCAUUCACAAGUGUCAAAGUUGAGUCCAUUAAAAGGAAAAA